UACAGGGGGCGCGAGCGUUGCUCGGAAUCACUGGGCGUAAAGCGUACGCAGGCGGGGCGAUAAGUCCGUUGUGAAAUCCCAGGGCUCAACUCUGGAACUGCGAUGGAGACUGUCGAUCUUGAGUACGGGAGAGGAGAGCGGAAUUCCUGGUGUAGAGGUGAAAUUCGUAGAUAUCAGGAGGAACACCGGUGGCGAAGGCGGUUCUCUGGGCCUUACCUGACGCUGAGGAGCGAAAGCGUGGGGAGCGAACAGG
rnacentral:rRNA from 1 species